rnacentral:rRNA from 1 species
AUUGAACGCUGGCGGCAGGCCUAACACAUGCAAGUCGAACGCGUGGCGGCCGGGUGAGUACUGUCUGGGAAACUGCCCGAUGGAGGGGGAUACCUACUGGAAACGGUAGCUAAUAACGCAUACCAUAGGAUGUGCACCGAUGGGCUUAGCUUGUAGGUGAGGUAACGGCUCACCUAGGCGACGAUCCCUAGCUGGUCUGAGAGGAUGACCAGCCACACUGGAACUGAGACACGGUCCAGACUCCUACGUGAGGCAGCAGUGGGGAAUAUUGCACAAUGGGCGCAAGCCUGAUACAGCCAUGCGGCGUGAAUGAAGAAGGCCUUCGGGUUGUAAAGUACUUUCAGCGGUGAGGCGUUACCCGCAGAAUAAGCACCGGCUAACUCCGUGCCAGCAGCCGCGGUAAUUC